AAUAAUUUAACAUUUAUGCCAUAGACAGCAGGUGCGGUUAAAGCUUAAUUUCCUGCCGAGGUAUUCGAUCAUAAUAGAACUAUUUUGUUCGGACUAUCAUCGUACCUCCAUGUCUGUCAUGAUAUGGAGGUUUUUUUACGGGUGU
rfam:Bacillus sp. FJAT-27986 scaffolf12, whole genome shotgun sequence.